CUGGCUAAGAAAUGCUCCAGCUGUGAAAAUCAAGCAUCUUCUAGCUUGGGAAGGUUCAAAGCACGCAGUGGGAAUCGCUUUAGAGAUACAUUUGCCCGGGUGAAGUUUCUCUUGCACAGUUCUGCUAUGACUUGGAAAUGUUAAGGCGUCUCUGUUUACAGCCAACUUGGAAACUGCAUGAUGUGCAUAUUAAUAAAAAUGCAGUAACA